UACAGAGGUCCCAAGCGUUGUUCGGAUUUACUGGGCGUAAAGGGUGCGUAGGUGGCGGGGUAAGUCUGGUGUGAAAGCUCCGAGCUCAACUCGGAAAAGCAUUGGAAACUAUCCCGCUUGAGGGUCGGAGGGGAGACUGGAAUUCUCGGUGUAGCAGUGAAAUGCGUAGAUAUCUGGAGGAACACCGGUGGCGAAGGCGGCAUCCUGGACCGACACUGACGCUGAGGAGCGAAAGCCAGGGGAGCAAACGGG
rnacentral:rRNA from 1 species